rnacentral:tRNA from 1 species
UCCCUGGUAGUAUAUCGGUGAGUACACGCGCCUGUCACGCGCGAAAGCGGGGUUCGACUCCCCGCCAGGGAG